UUGUCUGCCUUUAGCAGUGCAAUCGUAAUCAUCAGGUCUUUGAAUUUGAAAGUGGACGCAUGCUGAAAAAGUAAGACCGCAGAUCGAGACUCCAAUUACAGACCUUCAUGCCUAGAGAAUACGAACUAUCAAAGAUACAGGCACAGAAACACUUGGAUCAAACUGCUGAGCCACUGGAGGUGCAAAUGUUUUUGCUGAUUUCUGCAAGAGCUCCACUCCACUUUCAGAUGCCAAUGAUUAUAAUUUUGAAGAAAUAAAAGCCCAGAAAAAUUUAUGUGGUCAAGACUGCUAUAAUUUCCAGAUGAGAUAUCUUCCAAACACACCAAUAGCCAAGGAAGGAGACAGUGGGGUCUUAGAAAAGGUGAGUUCAGUGAGACCUUGACAAAGCUCCAAGUGUUUUCUCAUCUGAGGCAAUUGAUAUGAGAAGAGACAUUAAGAACUGAUAAAAAUCUACAUUUUCAUGUACUGUGAAAUCCAUCUUAAUUAAACAUGUCCACAUUUACACCAUCUCAGAGGGAUUCUCGUUACACGCAUCUAGGUUGUUGGGCAUUUACCCUAAUUUCUGGAUGAAGUGAACUUCAAACUGAUGGACUGAAUCAACUAUCAAGAUUUUUUUGAAAAGAAAAAUCAGAUUUAAGAUUUUAUGUGACUGAAUCAUAGCUCUAAGGUAGAGAUCACAAAGCCUACCACAUUUUAUUCAUGGAGGUGGCAGGGGCCUAAACACCAAAGGUGUUAUGUGUUAAGGACACACCACAUGUCUGACACCUAGAGACAAUAAUGGCUAGCUAGAGAGGAAGCAAAAUAUCCUGACUAGAGAAGCAAAAUAAAUGGAACU
rnacentral:lncRNA from 1 species